AACGAACGCUGGCGGCAUGCCUAACACAUGCAAGUCGAACGAAACCGUCGGGUCUAGUGGCUCCUGGGUGCGUAAAGGGUGGGAACCUGCCCUUGGGUUCUGCAUAACUCUCCGAAAGGGGUGCUAAUACCGGAGAAUGUCUUCGGACCAAAGAUUUAUCGACUUUGGAUGGGCCCGCGUUGGUUUGGUUUGUUGGUAGGGUAAGAGCCUGCCAAUGGGACGAUCCGUAGCUGGCUUGUGAGGCUGAACAGCGACACUGGGACUGAGACACGGCCCAGACUCGUACGGGAGGGAGCAGUGGGGAAUAUAGGACAACGGGCGAAAGGCUGAGCCAGCACGGCCGGGAGAGUGAUGAAGGCCUUGGGGAUGUCAUGCGCUUUUAACCGGGCUGAUAAUGACGGUACCGGGAGAAUAAGCUCCGGCUAACUCCGUG
rnacentral:rRNA from 1 species